GGGGCCGCUGCCAAGGCACUCCCUCCGAACUACACUGCACUGAACUGACCUGGUUACGGCGCCUAUACAAGUGACCCGGGAUGGAGUACUGGCGGCAGGGCGGCUCUACGAAAGCUGCUGUGGGAGUGCUGCCCUCCACAGCAAGCAAGGGGCUGCCCUGCCCAGACCACAGCAAGAGGAGGAAGAGCUCUGCAUUACUAAGUUAAGUACCUCACUAUGACAUGCUGAGGGUUUGGCCUCAUUUUUGCCUUCUAUUUAAAACUUUUUACUUUCUAACGAACCUUAAUCUUUUUCUCAGCCUGCCUCCUCCUCCUCCUCCUUCAACUUCCUUUACCUCCUUGUGUGAAUCUGUCCGUCCCGAGAUCCGGCGAGACCAUCCCGACGUCGUAACACCCGUUUGGGAGUGGGGGGACUCAUGAAGCUGUCGGCAGCAGCCCUAAGGUGGGGAUGGUUGCGCCGACACCUCCACUCCGUUUCGGCGGAAUGUGGCUGGCUAGGGUGGCCUGAACCACUGUCUGGGUUGUUUGUCGUUCAGUCGGAUUGAGGAUCUGCCUCCCUUGAGGUGCACAUGUCACAGUGAUGGCAGAAGAAAGUGUGAGUGAAGCUGAUGUCAUCCCGACGUCGUAACACCGUUGGGCGGGGCGGGGCUCUCAUGUCAAGUCUCCCCGCGGUGCACAUGUCACAGAGGUGCAAAGAGCAUGGCCUUCUUUCCUAUCUUUUCCCCCUCCUCCUCACCCCCUCCCCUACACACCUCCUGCUGUUAUAUCGUCACCCUCAUAAAGUAAUUGCCUAAGUCAUUUUUCAGUGAUUUCCAUUUUUGUUAAGUUGUCUUAGAUAUUCAGGGUUUGAGUGUUCUAGAAUUGCCUUUUUAUUUCUGCCUAAAUCUUAAGCCAAAUGAGAUGAUGACGUUCUCUUCUUGAAAAAUAGAAAAUAACGACUUGGGCGGUUUCUUUACAAAGGUGGCGAGAUUGUAUUAGGUUUUGCACCCUCUGUUUAGGGAUGUGCACUAAUUUUUGUCUUUUCUCUUACCCUCCUCCUCCCCUGGCUGGCCGGGGAACGGAGGAGGAGCACUAGGACGAGGAGGUGAAGGGAAGCGGAGGGAGAGACGACUCGAGCACGAGGAGGCAAGAGACAAGAAGCAGAGACGCAGGAACAGAAAGCUGCUGUGGGAGUGCUGCCCUCCACAGCAAGCAAGGGGCUGCCCUGCCCAGACCACAGCAAGAGGAGGAAGAGCUCUGCAUUACUAAGUUAAGUACCUCACUAUGACAUUCUGAGGGUUUGGCCUCAUUUUUGCCUUCUAUUCAAAACUUUUUACUUUCUAACGAACCUUAAUCUUUUUCUCAGCCUGCCUCCUCCUCCUCCUCCUUCAACUUCCUUUACCUCCUUGUGUGAAUCUGUCCGUCCCGAGAUCCGGCGAGACCAUCCCGACGUCGUAACACCCGUUUGGGAGUGGGGGGACUCAUGAAGCUGUCGGCGGCAGCCCUAAGGUGGGGAUGGUUGCGCCGACACCUCCACUCCGUUUCGGCGGAAUGUGGCUGGCUAGGGUGGCCUGAACCACUGUCUGGGUUGUUUGUCGUUCAGUCGGAUUGAGGAUCUGCCUCCCUUGAGGUGCACAUGUCACAGUGAUGGCAGAAGAAAGUGUGAGUGAAGCUGAUGUCAUCCCGACGUCGUAACACCGUUGGGCGGGGCGGGGCUCUCAUGUCAAGUCUCCCCGCGGUGCACAUGUCACAGAGGUGCAAACAGCAUGGCCUUCUUUCCUAUCUUUUCCCCCUCCUCCUCCA